AAGCAGUACAUGAGAAUUGGAGGAAAUUAAUCCCAUUAGCAUUGUCAAUGCAGUAGUGGGUUUAAUUUCCUCCAAUAUCUCAUCUACUGUUU
rnacentral:pre_miRNA from 1 species